UCAAGAUCUCGCUCCCACAUAACUUCCCCAACAUCCGUUUAUUUUUACUUAAUAAAUGAGGAACCGGUAACUGGCUUGGACUGUUGAUUUCAGAUCCAAAUCAUGAUAUUCAAUCUACACCUUUCAUUUACCAUAUAUAUCUCAGGUUCUGUUUGUUUCUCUCUGCCUCUCUCACACAGUAUCUUUCUCGACUUUCACUCACUCAUUUCCAGCGAAGCUCCUCCAUCCGUCCCCAUUUGUCGAAGUGUUGUUGACUCACUCUCGUAUCUCCCAAUCCCAGUGGCCUCGAUAUCUCUCUCAUCUCCAACCACGGUACCACCAUCAUUUCAUGUCGACUCUCGACUCUCUCCCGCCACCUGCACUUAACGGUCCUGACUCCUGACCACCAUCUAUGUUCCAAAUAAGGUAGCAUUCAAGUCUUUGGUGAAUUUUUAAUCGAAGAGGUUGCAAAUGCAGUGGUAAUGAGUGGAAAAGUUUAUACUUAAUUUUAUUAGUAUUAAAGUCUUUAUCAAUGUCUAAGUUAACAUUUUGUUUUGACUAGCUCUUAACUUACCAACCGAAUCCAUCUCCUUUGACUAGCUAGAGUAUCUUGGUUGAGAACUCUUUCCGUUCCCAGUGCCUAGUUUCCAAAGACGAAGUUGAGAUAGGUUGGGAACCCUCUCUUUUUGUUCUUUUGUUUUAGUUCCCAAGAAAGUUGAUUGGAUUGAAGAAAAUGGAACAAAAAGAAAUGAAAAAAAAUUGAAAUUUGUUGGUGCU